rnacentral:rRNA from 1 species
GGCCCGGACAGGGGUACGCCGGCCGGUGGAUGCCUCGGCUUGGGCGCCGACGAAGGACGUGGCAAGCUGCGAUAAGCCCCGGGUACCCGCAGGCAGGGGUAGAUCCGGGGAUCUCCUAAUGGGACAUCCUGCGGCAGGCUUCGGCCUGCCGCGGUCCCGGCCUGAGCCGGGAUCGGGAACCCCCCGAACGGAAGCAUCCAAGUAGGGGGAGGAAAAGAAAUCAAACGAGAUUCCCCUAGUAGGGGCGACCGAACGGGGAGGAGCCCAAACCGAACCCCCUGGGGAAACUCAGGGGGAAUGUGGGGUUAAGGGCCGGGGGUCCACCCUGAAGCCCGAGCCGAACUCCCCUGGAAUGGGGGGCCAAAGAGGGUGAUAGCCCCGUAGGCGAAGGGCGGAUGGGUGAUGCCCCGGAUCCCAGAGUACCGCACCUCGGAUAUGGUGCGGGAAGUUGGGGGCCACUGGCCUCCAAGGCUAAAUACGUCCCAAGACCGAUAGUGGACCAGUAGCGUGAGCGAAAGGUGAAAAGUACCCCGGGAGGGGGGUGAAAAGCGCCUGAAACCGGCCGGUAACAGACGAGGGCGGCCCGAAAGGGAAAUCCCCGUCAAGGCCCCGAAAGGGGCCGCGCGGGGACAAUCCCAGGGUCGCCCGCUCCGUCUUGAAACACGGGCCGGGGAGUUCACGGGUGUGGCGAGUCUAAGGGCUGAAAGCCCGGAGGCGUAGGGAAACCGAGCGCCCGCAGCCGGAGGGAGCUCCGGCGAGGGGCGGGGUCCGAAAGGGCCUGUAGCCACGCCCGUGAGGCUAGAAACCGGGCGAUCUAGCCCUGGGCAGGGUGAAGCCGGGGGAAACCCCGGUCGAGGCCCGAAUAGGGGUCCUGACGUGCAAUUCGGUCCCCUGACCUGGGGCUAGGAGUCAAAAGCUAACCGAGCCCGGUGAUAGCUAGUUCCCCCCGAAGUGUCUCGCAGGACAGCCCCGGGGGAGGUUGCCUGCGGGGUAGGGCACUGAUAGGGGAGAAAGGGGCCGAUGAGGCCCCGCUCUCCUUUCAAACUACGAACCCGCAGGCGCCGUAGAUCCCGGGAGUGGGGUACUGGGGGUAAGCUCCAGGACCGAGAGGGGAACAACCCAGACCGCGGGUUAAGGCCCCUAAGUGCCCGCUAAGUGACAAACCGAAGGGCGUCCCCGUCCUGAGACAGCGGGGCCGUAGGCUUAGAAGCAGCCAUCGGCUAAGAAGUGCGUAACAGCUUACCCGCCGAGGACGGGGGCCCCGAAAAUUGACGGGUCUAAGCGGGCCGCCGAAACCCGGGCUCACCCGUGCCUUGCACGGGUGGGGGUAGGGGGGCGUGGCGGCUGGGCAGAAGCGGGGCCGUGAGGUCCCGUGGACCGGCCGCCAAUGCAGAUCCCGGUGGUAGUAGACAGCGAAGAGGGGUGGAAAUCCCCUCCGCCGGAAGGGCACGGGUUUCCCGGCAAUGCGUCGUCAGCCGGGAGUAAGCCGGUCCUAAGGCCGACCUUAACCGGGUAGGCCGAAGGGGAAGCCGGUUAACAUUCCGGCGCCCCGCGGGUAGGUGCGGCGACGCAAGCCGGGCCCCUGACGCUUCGGGGUAGGCCGAGCAGGGCCGUAGCCCUGCCCAAGCGCUGAAGCCUGGGGAGUGCCGUAACGGCGAGAACCAGGUGAAGGCGUGAUGGGGCGGCGUAUGCCGCUUCGGCCGAUCCCUGGAGCCAGUGAAAAGGGGGUCCGGAACGAUCCCGCGGGACCGUACCUAGAUCCGACACUGGUGCCCCUGGCUGAGAAGGCCAAGGCGUCUGGGGUGACUCCGGGCCAGGGAACUCGGCAAAUUGGCCCCGUAACCUCGGGAGAAGGGGUGCCUGCCUUCCUCUCCGACGAGGAGGGGUUGGCAGGUCGCAGUGACAAGGGGGUCCCGACUGUUUAAUAAAAACAUAGGAAGCCGCAAGGCCGAAAGGCUUUGAACGGCUUCUGAAUCCUGGCCAGCACCGGUACCUGAAACCCGGGUCCAACCGGGAUAAGGGCCGGCUAGCGCCGGGGGUAACCCUGACCCUCGGGUUAAGGGGGUCGUUAAACGUGGCUGUAUGCGGGGAAGGCUGGAGGUCACGGGCACCGCUUAAGCGGUAACAGUCCCGUGGCCGGUGAGGCCGACCCGCAGGAAACCGCCCCAUGAGGUGCCGAAUCUUCUAAUAACUGGACGGCUGCAGACGACUCGGUGAACCUCGCUUACAUCAUCGGCGUGAUGCUGGGCGACGGAGGGGUUUACGGCAAUUAUUACACGGUCUUCUGCAGGGAUCCUAACCUCGAGUUCGUUGAGUUCAUCGCGCGGACGGUCGAGGAGCUCUUCGGGAUAAAGCCAAACGUAAGGCGGGCCAGCACGAAGUACUACUUGGUCUCGACGAACGUCCGAUGGGUCCACGAUUUCUUCCUCAGGAUCGGCUUUCCGAAGGGCAGGAAGCUGACUAACGCCUCGAUCCCUCCACUCUACAGGAACGAUCUGGACGUCGUCAAGGGCCUCUUCGACAGCGAGGGUUACUGCGGCAUCGACUAUCAGCGCCACGGCGAGAAGACGUACGCCUACCCCUAUGUAGGGAUUGACAUGAUAGCGAGGCCGGUGAUAAGGCAGGCAAUGGACCUUCUGAGAAAGCACGGAAUACAGUGCUCGCAUCAGAGGAAGACGCCCAGGGCGUGGGGUAAGCACUACCAGUGGAGGCUGGUCGUCAAGGGAUGGGAGAACGUCAAGCUUUUCUCGGAACUGAUCGGAUUCAGACAUCCGGAGAGGUCGAGGAGGUUGCUGGAGAUCCUAACCGAGGGCGGGAUCCUCAGAGACCAUACGCCACGCGCCCCAGCUGGCACGGAAGGAUGUCAGCUGGGGUGAUGAUAUGGUCCAACCCCGACCAUCAGGUCGGGCAUGCUUAAGGUAGCCAAAUGCCUUGUCGGGUGAGUUCCGACGCGCAUGAAUGGAUCAACGAGGGCCCCACUGUCCCGGCCCGGAGCCCCGUGAACCCACAUAACGUGGACGAACAGUCCACGAACCCCCAGCGGGGAGAGAAGACCCUGUGGAGCUUUACUGCAGCCUGUCGCUGCGGGAUGGCUCUGGGUGCAUAGCGUAGCCGGGAGCCGUCGAUCCGGGCCUCUCCGGGGGCCCGGGGAGGCGCCAAUGUAACACCGGCCACCUGGGGCUGUCCCGCUAACCGGGGCCUGUGCCCUGGGACAACGGCAGGUGGGCAGUUCGGCUGGGGCGGCACUCCCCCGAAAAGAUAUCGGGGGAGCCCAAAGGUCGGCUCAGGCGGGACAGAAACCCGCUGUAGAGUGCAAGGGCAAAAGCCGGCCUGACAGGACCCUUGAACGCAAGGGGUCCUGAGGGGAAACCCGGGCCUAGCGAUCCAUCGGCCCCUACCAGUGGGGGCCGGUGGUGACAGAAAAGUUACCCCAGGGAUAACAGGCUCGUCGCGGGCGAGAGUCCCCAUCGACCCCGCGGCUUGGUACCUCGAUGUCGGCUCUUCCCAUCCUGGCCUCGCAGCAGGGGCCAAGGGUGAGGCUGCUCGCCUAUUAAAGGGGAACGUGAGCUGGGUUUAGACCGGCGUGAGCCAGGUCGGAUUCUACCUGCUGGGGGUGUGGGCCGCCUGAGGGUAGGGUCCUCCUAGUACGAGAGGAACGGAGGGCCGGGGCCAACGGUGUACCGGUCGUCCUACAGGGCGACGCCGGGCAGCCGCGCCCCUGGGGAUAAGGGCUGAAAGCAUCUAAGCCCGAAGCCCCUCCCAAAAAUAGGCGGCCAAUCGGGGACUAUAGGGCCCGGCAACGGGCCUUGGUCCCCGACGAGGGCUCCCCUAGAAGAGGGGGUUGAUGGGGUGGGCGUGUAAGGGCGGAGGCGUAAGCCGGACGCCCUCAGCGCGCCACUCCCAAUCGCCCGAGCUGUCCGGGUG